UGGGGAAUAUUGCACAAUGGGCGCAAGCCUGAUGCAGCCAUGCCGCGUGUAUGAAGAAGGCCUUCGGGUUGUAAAGUACUUUCAGCGGGGAGGAAGGGAGUAAAGUUAAUACCUUUGCUCAUUGACGUUACCCGCAGAAGAAGCACCGGCUAACUCCGUGCCAGCAGCCGCGGUAAUAUGGAGGGUGCAAGCGUUAAUCGGAAUUACUGGGCGUAAAGCGCACGCAGGCGGUUUGUUAAGUCAGAUGUGAAAUCCUCGGGCUCAACCUGGGAACUGCAUCUGAUACUGGCAAGCUUGAGUCUCGUAGAGGGGGGUAGAAUUCCAGGUGUAGCGGUGAAAUGCGUAGAGAUCUGGAGGAAUACCGGUGGCGAAGGCGGCCCCCUGGACGAAGACUGACGCUCAGGUGCGAAAGCGUGGGGAGCAAACAGG
rnacentral:rRNA from 1 species